rnacentral:rRNA from 1 species
AGCCGGUGUGAAAAACUCCGGUGGUGUAAGAUGGACCCGCGUCUGAUUAGCUUGUUGGCGGGGUAGGGCCCACCAAGGCGACGAUCAGUAGCCGGCCUGAGAGGGUGGACGGCCACAUUGGGACUGAGACACGGCCCAAACUCCUACGGGAGGCAGCAG